GACCUUAUACUUUAAGUUAAAAGAUCUGAUUUGCAUUCAGAAAAUAAAUCUUUAUGAUUUUAGGGCCA
rnacentral:tRNA from 1 species